rnacentral:rRNA from 1 species
CUCCCGGUUGAUCCUGCCGGACCCGACUGCUAUCAGAGUGGGACUAAGCCAUGCGAGUCAACAUAGCAAUAUGUGGCAUACGGCUCAGUAACACGUAGUCAACAUGCCCAGGGGACGUGGAUAACCUCGGGAAACUGAGGAUAAACCGCGAUAGGUCAUCACUUCUGGAAUGGGUAAUGACUUAAAUCUAUAUGGCCCCUGGAUUGGACUGCGGCCGAUCAGGCUGUUGGUGAGGUAAUGGCCCACCAAACCUGUAACCGGUACGGGCUCUGAGAGGAGGAGCCCGGAGAUGGGCACUGAGACAAGGGCCCAGGCCCUAUGGGGCGCAGCAGGCGCGAAACCUCUGCAAUAGGCGAAAGCUUGACAGGGUUACUCUGAGUGAUUUCCGUUAAGGAGAUCUUUUGGCACCUCUAAAAAUGGUGCAGAAUAAGGGGUGGGCAAGUCUGGUGUCAGCCGCCGCGGUAAUACCAGCACCCCGAGUGGUCGGGACGUUUAUUGGGCCUAAAGCAUCCGUAGCCGGUUCUACAAGUCUUCCGUUAAAUCCACCUGCUUAACAGAUGGGCUGCGGAAGAUACUAUAGAGCUAGGAGGCGGGAGAGGCAAGCGGUACUCGAUGGGUAGGGGUAAAAUCCGUUGAUCCAUUGAAGACCACCAGUGGCGAAGGCGGCUUGCCAGAACGCGCUCGACGGUGAGGGAUGAAAGCUGGGGGAGCAAACCGGAUUAGAUACCCGGGUAGUCCCAGCUGUAAACGAUGCAGACUCGGUGAUGAGUUGGCUUAUUGCUAACUCAGUGCCGCAGGGAAGCCGUUAAGUUUGCCGCCUGGGGAGUACGGUCGCAAGACUGAAACUUAAAGGAUUGGCGGGGGAGCA